AAGGUAACUUGUGAAGGUUGCUGGAGGUAUCGGAAGUGCGAAUGCUGACAUGAGUAGCGAUAAAGGAAGUGAAAAGCUUCCUCGCCGAAAACCCAAGGUUUCCUGUGCAACGUUCAUCGGCGCAGGGUUAGUCGGUCCCUAAGGUGAGGUAGAAAUACGUAGCUGAUGGGAAACUGGUUAAUAUUCCAGUACCUUUAUUUAAUGCGAUGUGG
rnacentral:rRNA from 1 species